GAUAAUGGAUGAACCACAGUCUUGUUUUCUCUCCUGACAUUAUAUUGUUAUUCAGAUAUUAAUGCUUGCUUUCCUUUCUUAAAUGGAAUUUCAAGUUUGGCUAUUCUGUUACAUUG